AUUACAUUCAUCAUCAGGGCCUCUGAAAAACAUUUUUAAAAAGGAGUUUAGAGUGGUGAUUUUUUUUUUUUUUUUUUUUUUUUUUUUUAAAAGCAGUUUGGCUUGGCUUCUGUAUCCUGAAAUAUCAUCUCAAGUGUCACCGGAUUCUGCAGACUCAUCAUUUCCUUGGCAGCAGCAUGAUGUAGUCUGCUCAGCUAUAGCAUUGGAGCUAUUCUCAUCCUCUAGCCUGAGCCUACUUCCUGCAUACUGACAGCCAAAAGAGGGAAACAAGGGGCAGCAUUUUAAACAGCUGGAAGUGAGAAUUAAACUGAGCAAGCGGGAGAAUGAAUGCCCUCAGUAAGAAGGCUGCACAGGGCAAUUUCACACAUUAGCCGAGCCAAAUGACAGCUGCACAGUGAUGCUUUGAACUGAAGGAUACUGAAGGCAUGAGAGAGGUGAAAGAUCUGACAUUGCUCGUUCUAACUUUCUCUGCAUCCUCUGGGAUAUAGUUUGUAUUAUUUCACAGCAAAGUUCUGAUUCAUCACUUCCGGUGUGCCAAGAGAGGUUUCUGUGAUCAUACAGUAACUGACAACAGAAUGUUUUUUAGACCAAAAGGGUACAUCUAUAAAGUGUCAGUCAGUGGACAUGUGAUGCUCACCUCUACAGCAGCCCCACUUUGUGAUUCAGCCUUGUAAACUUGUCCUUGAGUAUACAAUUACACAAAAAUUAAACAUUUCGGCUUUCUUCCAUCAGUAUUGUCUAAUUCCUGCUUAAUCGGCAUGCUUCAGUUCAGAACAUGCUUUGUGCUGCCUUUGCACUAUAUCAGUGUGCUUUAAGUAAACAAAAGCAUAUGUUGAAUGGUCUUUGUCUUUACAUUUUCUUAGAAUUAGGGGGAUGUAAUGACACAUCACUGCACUCACCAUUGUUUGUGCUGAAGCCAGUAAAAUCUGCUAUUCCAAUUGAAAUAAACUGAUUCACACAAUA